rnacentral:rRNA from 1 species
GAUGAACGCUGGCGGCGUGCCUAAUACAUGCAAGUCGAGCGAACAGACGAGGAGCUUGCUCCUCUGACGUUAGCGGCGGACGGGUGAGUAACACGUGGAUAACCUACCUAUAAGACUGGGAUAACUUCGGGAAACCGGAGCUAAUACCGGAUAAUAUAUUGAACCGCAUGGUUCAAUAGUGAAAGACGGUUUUGCUGUCACUUAUAGAUGGAUCCGCGCCGCAUUAGCUAGUUGGUAAGGUAACGGCUUACCAAGGCAACGAUGCGUAGCCGACCUGAGAGGGGGAUCGGCCACACUGGAACUGAGACACGGUCCAGACUCCUACGGGAGGCAGCAGUAGGGAAUCUUCCGCAAUGGGCGAAAGCCUGACGGAGCAACGCCGCGUGAGUGAUGAAGGGCUUCGGAUCGUAAAACUCUGUUAUUAGGGAAGAACAAAUGUGUAAGUAACUAUGCACGCCUUGACGGUACCUAAGCAGAAAGCCACGGCUAACUACGU